CCAAUAAAUAUGAUCAUGGAAAAAAAAAUAUGCGUAUCAGUAAGUUUUUUUCAAAUUGUGCGAAAAAUAAAAAAAUUCACGGUUCCGGUUACCGCAACCGUUACACUACGGCCUUUACACUCCGCAACCGCAACAGCAACAGCGUCACCGCCACCAUUACGGCGACCGCAACCGCUUUUCAGAACCUUGGAUCAGUGUUUUGUGUUGAAGAACAAAGGGGCAGCCGGAGAGUCACAGAACAGAGGCAGAUCUGAAAAUUUGUGGAUGGAUACACCUCACCUCGAAGUGGUUCAUGUGCUGUAAAGCAAAGCAUUUGAACCAGUGAUUGAGCCUCUGAAUAAUAAAGGUCACCAAUUUACAUGUUCAUGAGUGAUGCAGUACCACAUUCAACAAUAAUAACUCCUUUACAUACCCCACCCUCCACAAGCCCCUGUGAGGGCACACAUGGGGGAGGAGGAUCGGUCUUGAAAGAGAUAUGUCAGAGAUACAAUUUAAAAAAUAAAAAAUAAAAAAUUUUGCCAAUUUGAGAAUGAAGCCUUGUUGCCAGAACUUAGCAAAAGAUGGGUGUUAUCCUAAGCAAAAAUAUACAGUCAGCAGUUUGUAUGAUACCCUUCUAAAAUCUGCUCAACAGGCAACCUAGAUGUCCGAUAUUGAUCAUAUGAAAUAUUGGAGAAUAGAGAUCUAAAGCUAAGCAUUUGAUUUGAGAUGUCCAUGAAGCACAUAAUAAUGUGAUGCCACAAAUCAACUUCGACAACUACCAGAACAUCCAAAAAAUAUACGGACUAACAGUUUCCAAGUAAAUCAGAGGAAA